rnacentral:rRNA from 1 species
UACGUAGGGUGCAAGCGUUAAUCGGAAUUACUGGGCGUAAAGCGCGCGUAGGCGGUUUGAUAAGUCAGACGUGAAAUCCCCCGGCUUAACCUGGGAACUGCGUCUGAUACUGGAAGGCUUGAGUAUGGGAGAGGGAUGUAGAAUUCCAGGUGUAGCGGUGAAAUGCGUAGAUAUCUGGAGGAAUACCGGUGGCGAAGGCGGCAUCCUGGACCAUUACUGACGCUGAGGCGCGAAAGCUAGGGGAGCAAACGGGG